rnacentral:tRNA from 1 species
UGGUUCCGCCCGGGAUCGUACCGGGGACCUUUCGCGUGUAAAGCGAACGUGAUAACCAUUACACCACGAAACC